AGUGCGUAACAAGGUUUCCGUAGGUGAACCUGCGGAGGAUCAUUA
rnacentral:rRNA from 1 species